rnacentral:tRNA from 1 species
GCGGCAAUAGCUCAGUGGUAGAGCCCCGCUUCGCGUGCGGGAAGACCAGGGUUCGAUUCCUGGCAGCU